GCGGCGGACGGGUGAGUAACACGUGGGCAACCUGCCUGUAAGACUGGGAUAACUUCGGGAAACCGGAGCUAAUACCGGAUAAUCCUUUCCCUCACAUGAGGGAAAGCUGAAAGACGGUUUCGGCUGUCACUUACAGAUGGGCCCGCGGCGCAUUAGCUAGUUGGUGAGGUAACGGCUCACCAAGGCAACGAUGCGUAGCCGACCUGAGAGGGUGAUCGGCCACACUGGGACUGAGACACGGCCCAGACUCCUACGGGAGGCAGCAGUAGGGAAUCUUCCGCAAUGGACGAAAGUCUGACGGAGCAACGCCGCGUGAACGAUGAAGGCUUUCGGGUCGUAAAGUUCUGUUGUCAGGGAAGAACAAGUACCGGAGUAACUGCCGGUACCUUGACGGUACCUGACCAGAAAGCCACGGCUAACUACGUGCCAGCAGCCGCGGUAAUACGUAGGUGGCAAGCGUUGUCCGGAAUUAUUGGGCGUAAAGCGCGCGCAGGCGGUUCCUUAAGUCUGAUGUGAAAGCCCCCGGCUCAACCGGGGAGGGUCAUUGGAAACUGGGGAACUUGAGUGCAGAAGAGGAGAGCGGAAUUCCACGUGUAGCGGUGAAAUGCGUAGAGAUGUGGAGGAACACCAGUGGCGAAGGCGGCUCUCUGGUCUGUAACUGACGCUGAGGCGCGAAAGCGUGGGGAGCGAACAGGAUUAGAUACCCUGGUAGUCCACGCCGUAAACGAUGAGUGCUAAGUGUUAGAGGGUUUCCGCCCUUUAGUGCUGCAGCAAACGCAUUAAGCACUCCGCCUGGGGAGUACGGCCGCAAGGCUGAAACUCAAAGGAAUUGACGGGGGCCCGCACAAGCGGUGGAGCAUGU
rnacentral:rRNA from 1 species